GCUAAGACGGGUGAGUAACACGUGGAACCUUCCUAGAGGUACGGAACAACGCAGGGAAACUUGCGCUAAUACCUGUAUGUGCUCUUGCGAGGAAAGAUUUAUCGCCUUUAGACGGGCCCGCGUCGGAUUAGCUAGUUGGUGGGGUAAUGGCCUACCAAGGCAACGAUCCGUAGCUGAUCUGAGAGGAUGAUCAGCCACACUGGAAACUGAGACACGGUCCAGAACUCCUACGGGAGGCAGCAGUGGGGAAUCUUGGACAAAUGGGCGCAAGCCUGAUCCAGCCAUGCCGCGUGAGUGAAGAAGGCCUUCGGGUUGUAAAGCUCUUUUGUCAGGGACGAUAAUGACGGUACCUGAAGAAUAAGCCCCGGAAACUUCGUGCCAGCAGCCGGGGGUAAAUACGAAGGGGGGCUAGCGUUGUUCGGAAAUUACUGGGCGUAAAGCGUGGUGUAGGCGGCUAAGUAAGUCGGAUGUGAAAGCCCUGGGCUCAACCCAGGAAGUGCACUCGAUACUGCAUAGCUAGAGUACUGGAGAGGUUGGUGGGAAUUCUCGGUGUAGAGGUUG
rnacentral:rRNA from 1 species